UACAGAGGUCUCAAGCGUUGUUCGGAUUCAUUGGGCGUAAAGGGUGCGUAGGCGGCGCGGUAAGUCGGGUGUGAAAUCUCGGAGCUUAACUCCGAAACUGCAUUCGAUACUGCCGUGCUUGAGGACUGGAGAGGAGACUGGAAUUUACGGUGUAGCGGUGAAAUGCGUAGAUAUCGUAAGGAAGACCAGUGGCGAAGGCGGGUCUCUGGACAGUUCCUGACGCUGAGGCACGAAGGUCAGGGGAGCAAACGGGAUUAGAUACCCGUUAGUCC
rnacentral:rRNA from 1 species